UAAGGAAUGUUGGUCAAUGGACGCAAGUCUGAACCAGCCAUGCCGCGUGAAGGAUGAAGGUCCUCUGGAUUGUAAACUUCUUUUAUCUGGGACGAAAACGGGAUUUUUAUCUCAAUUGACGGUACCAGAGGAAUAAGCACCGGCUAACUCCGUGCCAGCAGCCGCGGUAAUACGGAGGGUGCGAGCGUUAUCCGGAUUUACUGGGUUUAAAGGGUGCGUAGGUGGGCUUAUAAGUCAGUGGUGAAAUCUCCGAGCUUAACUUGGAAACUGCCGUUGAUACUAUAGGUCUUGAAUUAUCUGGAGGUCAGCGGAAUAUGUCAUGUAGCGGUGAAAUGCUUAGAUAUGACAUAGUACACCAAUUGCGAAGGCAGCUUACUACAUAUAAAUUGACGCUGAGGCACGAAAGCGUGGGGAUCAAACA
rnacentral:rRNA from 1 species